rnacentral:rRNA from 1 species
UACGAACUGUGCGAGCGUUAUUCGGAUUCACUGGGCGUAAAGGGUGCGCAGGCGGCCAAGUGUGUUAGGCGUGAAAGCCCGGGGCUUAACCCCGGAAUUGCACCUAAAACUACAUGGCUAGAGCAUUGGAGAGGGUAGCGGAAUUCACGGUGUAGCAGUGAAAUGCGUAGAUAUCGUGAGGAACACCAGAGGCGAAGGCGGCGACCUGGACAGGUACUGACACUCAAAUACGAAAGCGUGGGGAGCAAACAGG